rnacentral:hammerhead_ribozyme from 1 species
ACCCAUUUGACGAGUCUCAAAUGGGACGAAGCACGCGUCCUGGAU